GCCAUCAGUACAGGAUGCGGCUGCCCCCGUACCGGCGUGGCCAAAUGGCGUCGCAACAGGAAAAAGGAAUCUGCCUACCCGGCUCGACCUCUCGGGCACCUGCUACUCUCGGACAGAUUCCCUCUUCCCUCGGGUGCUUUGCUCUGCGCGGCAGAGAGAUCGAACCAGUGGCGGCGGCACAGGCGCUGGGAGAUGCAUUCGAGUUCCUAUCAGAUCUGGUUAACAGAUUCCCUCUUCCCACGUUGGGUGGUGAAUACACGCGGCCGGCGCAGCCGGUUGCAGAUCCGGUGGACGCAGUAGCCGAGUCCAGCAUUGCUGAUGUUGGUGAUGCCUCGCCGGCGCGGCAGCCAGACCUGAACGACGCUUGCGCGUCCAGCAACUUGUUCGCACCGGAUUCAAAACAGUCAAUGUGCAGGGACGACCCGCAGGCACCGUUCUGGACGAAGAGGUGUUUUAUCAUAAUUGCCACACGCAUGUCAAGUCAUAUACUCGUGCCGCCGUUUUGUGUGCACAGGGAGAACAUCACUACCGACUCCGUCAGUGUGAGGCCUACUUCAAGUCAACUGUAAAAGGCGCCCAACAGUGAGUGCCCUUCCGCCUCGCUUCGGUCCUCGACGGUGUGUGCUUGCAUUUUUUUUCUGAAAGGAAAAAUGCAUUCAAGGGAUGAGGGCAUACCACAGAUAUGGUGGCAUCUCCAUUCAACAUCUUCAAGGUCCAUUGGUUAUCGUGCCACAACUGUGUCAUACGUUUAGUAAUUUCAAAUUAUUUUCACUAUUGAACCGGGGUAAGAUCUGCUUGUACCAAACCCGGCCCAGCAAAGAAAUUUAUUAGGUUGGCGAGAUUUUUUUUUUUUGAGGAAUGAGGGCUCUAUAAAUUAAACAUGUGAAACUGCAUUUCGUGGGAUUUCCUUUAUGACAUGCUUAGUGCUCUUGCCGGCACGCCCUUGCGGUUGUCCUCGCGGUCACCACGAUGAAGGUUUCUGGGCGCCAACCGUAGCCUCCCAUUGUGUGCGCAGUUGAAGGCUUGGUUGGGUGCGCGUGGCAUCAUCUGCGUCGGCCUCCCGCUAUGCAAUAACAGAGAUAAGCCUGGUGUUGCUUUGCAUUUGGUGGAUAUUAUUGGAUCCGACUUAGGAUUUGUUUUUGUGUAUUUGCAUGUGGACUAUCCCAAAAAAAUAUGAAACGCGGAAGGGUGAGGUUAAGUGUUGCGUGUAAAUCUCAAUCAGAAGUACAUA